GGGCAGAGGAACUCCACGGCCAUCUCCGCCGCCGCUAUGGAGGACACAGGCGAGGUGCUCGAGGCGGAGGUAGACGAGCGGUGGUCGUUGGAGAACCUCCAAAAGGGCUUGCGGCUUCCCAUUCAAUCCCUUUUCCCAAGUGUCCUGGUCCCAUUUGACUUGUGAGUAGUCAUCAAGUUCAGCACCCAGCCAGCAGGAAGAAAAUUGCGUUUGCAGAUUUAUUUGACUUUUAUACCACUUGGAAGUUGGAUGGAUGGCUGAAGUUUUAUGCUUGGCCAUUUAGUUUCCCACCACAGAUUCGAGCUCCUGAAGGUGAGCAACUGAGAUGGAGAGAGAGGCACCAGUAUUUGCUAAAAGGAAUUGAAGUUGUUUUCUCUACCUUCCUCAGUUAUUUGACUCAACAAAAGCAGUGACUCCCAUCAUCAACAAAAGAGAGAAUCAAUGUAAAGUUUUGCUUGCUGUUGUCCUUGAAGGAUACAAUUAAUCUAUGUGCAUAAUUGUGUUUGAGAUUUGCAUCAAGACAAAAAAGCAUCAUUAAUCUAAGAGGUAUAGAAGAAUGUUGGUAGUAUG